GUAUAUAUAUAUAUGAUUUUCAUAAGAAUUACUGUUUUUAAUAGUGUUUUAAAGUUGUUUCACUUCUCCAAAGUAGAAACUGGCUUCUGCUUUAGGGGGGGUUUUCAUUUCUGAUCCGUGAAGAGGAAACAGUGUUUUAGUCAAGCUAAUGAGGGGAUUGAUCAAGGAGAACAGUGUGUGUUAAAGGUAUAUUUAUUUGUCCAUUUCAGAGGGACUGAAGGCAGCCUUCUCACAAGGAGCGUUUCGUUUGACUGUAGAAGACUGAGAGAUAAUUUAAGUGUGCGUGCGCGUGUGAGAGUGACGGUCCAUGUGUUAAUAUCAGUGCCUGCAGGCUCCCAGUGACCCCUGCUGCUGGUGGGUAAAUCUAAAAAAGGGCAUUUUGAUCAAGUGUAAAAGCUAACUCAAAAAAACUGUCUAAAGCAGUGGCCUCCGCUCUUCUGAUACUUUAACCGGUCGGAUGUUUCACUUUGAAUUUGGGUCCAGUGACAUCAAACGCAUCCUGUAAGCGUGCUCCGUGUUUCUGUAUGGAGCCUAUUGAUUUUCUGUAAUGCAUAAAAUAACAGGAUUGGAUUUGUUUCAUGUGAAGGUGCCAAGUAUGCUUGUAUUCCCCUGUGAGUGUGUACAGUACUUCCUGUUGGAGAUCGGAAGCACACAUGCUGAGGUACGAGCCAAAGCAGAACAUGCAGCUUGAUCACAAAGAAGCGUCUACGAGGUCCACUUUAAUAUUUGGUCCGAGGGCAGCAAAGGUCAGCAAGCAGUCAACUGAAGCCCCCCGUGGGACACCCCUGCCAUUUAGAUCCCAGCAUACCAGCACUAUCGCUGAAGAUACUCAACGUAUGUAUGAGUGGAAACAGAGAACAAAUACCUAUAUGACAAGUUUCCAGCCCUGCUCAUGUACGGCUAGUCUUUGUGUGGUCAUA